GCAGGUAUGGCGGAAUUGGUAGACGCGCUAGACUUAGGAUCUAGUGGAUUAAUCCGUGGGGGUUCAAGUCCCUUUACCUGCACCA
rnacentral:tRNA from 1 species